rnacentral:rRNA from 1 species
GACGAACGCUGGCGGCGUGCUUAACACAUGCAAGUCGAACGGAAAGGCCCUGCUUUUGUGGGGUGCUCGAGUGGCGAACGGGUGAGUAACACGUGAGUAACCUGCCCUUGACUUUGGGAUGACUUCAGGAAACUGGGGCUAAUACCGGAUAGGAGCUCCUGCUGCAUGGUGGGGGUUGGAAAGUUUCGGCGGUUGGGGAUGGACUCGCGGCUUAUCAGCUUGUUGGUGGGGUAGUGGCUUACCAAGGCUUUGACGGGUAGCCGGCCUGAGAGGGUGACCGGCCACAUUGGGACUGAGAUACGGCCCAGACUCCUACGGGAGGCAGCAGUGGGGAAUAUUGCACAAUGGGCGGAAGCCUGAUGCAGCAACGCCGCGUGCGGGAUGACGGCCUUCGGGUUGUAAACCGCUUUCGCCUGUGACGAAGCGUGAGUGACGGUAAUGGGUAAAGAAGCACCGGCUAACUACGUGCCAGCAGCCGCGGUGAUACGUAGGGUGCGAGCGUUGUCCGGAUUUAUUGGGCGUAAAGGGCUCGUAGGUGGUUGAUCGCGUCGGAAGUGUAAUCUUGGGGCUUAACCCUGAGCGUGCUUUCGAUACGGGUUGACUUGAGGAAGGUAGGGGAGAAUGGAAUUCCUGGUGGAGCGGUGGAAUGCGCAAAUAUCAGGAGGAACACCAGUGGCGAAGGCGGUUCUCUGGGCCUUUCCUGACGCUGAGGAGCGAAAGCGUGGGGAGCGAACAGGCUUAGAUACCCUGGUAGUCCACGCUGUAAACGGUGGGUACUAGGUGUGGGGUCCAUUCCACGGGUUCCGUGCCGUAGCUAACGCUUUAAGUACCCCGCCUGGGGAGUACGGCCGCAAGGCUAAAACUCAAAGGAAUUGACGGGGCCCCGCACAAGCGGCGGAGCAUGCGGAUUAAUUCGAUGCAACGCGUAGAACCUUACCUGGGUUUGACAUGGAUCGGGAGUGCUCAGAGAUGGGUGUGCCUCUUUUGGGGUCGGUUCACAGGUGGUGCAUGCCUGUCGUCAGCUCGUGUCGUGAGAUGUUGGGUUAAGUCCCGCAACGAGCGCAACCCUUGUUCACUGUUGCCAGCACGUUAUGGUGGGGACUCAGUGGAGACCGCCGGGGUCAACUCGGAGGAAGGUGGGGAUGACGUCAAGUCCUCAUGCCCCUUAUGUCCAGGGCUUCACGCAUGCUACAAUGGCUGGUACAGAGAGUGGCGAGCCUGUGAGGGUGAGCGAAUCUCGGAAAGCCGGUCUCAGUUCGGAUUGGGGUCUGCAACCCGACCUCAUGAAGUCGGAGUCGCUAGUAAUCGCAGAUCAGCAACGCUGCGGUGAAUACGUUCCCGGGGCU